rnacentral:lncRNA from 1 species
AUCAUUACUGACCCUUUUUCAUUAUUUCAUUUGUUACCAUCUAUCAGUAUUAUUUUUGAGUAUUUGUUAGGUGUCAUCACGCCUUCCUAAGUGUGCUGUGUUUUAGUAGCCUAGUAUUUGAAGUAGUCUGCUGGAAACCAAGUCAGUAUAUUCUCUACCUAUUCCAAAGAGCUAAAAAUCAGAGCCAGGAAAGACAUUACACUGCAGCUCAAAUUCACGAUGACAGUGAUGUGUGAUAUGGCCUAGAUUCUUGAAAGGGACCUGACUUGACUUUUUUAAAGAUAGAUAUUUUAUUAAUGAGCUAAAAAAAAGGGUUGGCGUGAGGUUAGCAGAAGUAAGCCAUCCAGUAUUCCUAUCACUACAAUCUAACCACCUUAUUUUGUGCCAGAGAAACUGAUAAAAUGUAAUAAUAGGAUCAUAUACCCAUCAUUUGAAUAAUUUUGAACUACAAACUGUCCUUAUAGUUUUCAUAACUGUUGUCCAUUGUUUGAGGAUGUUAGUACUAAACUGAAAACAUAAAUUCCAUAUCUACCACAUUUACACCAGCAACAGUAUAAAAUGUAAGCCUAAAUUUG